rnacentral:rRNA from 1 species
UACGUAGGGUGCAAGCGUUGUCCGGAAUUAUUGGGCGUAAAGAGCUUGUAGGCGGUUUGUCGCGUCUGCUGUGAAAUUUCGGGGCUCAACCCCGAACUUGCAGUGGGUACGGGCAGACUAGAGUGUGGUAAGGGAGACUGGAAUUCCUGGUGUAGCGGUGAAAUGCGCAGAUAUCAGGAGGAACACCGAUGGCGAAGGCAGGUCUCUGGGCCAUAACUGACGCUGAGAAGCGAAAGCAUGGGGAGCGAACAGG